AAUUUUAAGCUACAGUAUUUUCAUCUCUUUUUUCAUCUUUGAAAAGUCCUGUUGCAUGUCCAAAAUCUUUUUUUAUUAUUUCGUCUCCUCUCUCCCGCGGUCCUCUUCCCUCCCGCGUAUCACGAUUCACCUCCUCACUUCUCCCAGUUUUUUUUCUUCUUUCUCUUCUUCUUCCGUCUCCCGUGUCUCUCCCUUCUUGCUUUUCUUCUAUUUUUUUUUUCUCUUCUUUCUCUUCUUCUUCCCCCUUUCUCGCACGCAGCUCUUCUCUUUCAUCUUCUCUCGAGCAUGGCACCGCACGGCUUCACUCCAACGCCGAUCGCCCAACAACACGAAUUGUCAUGGUGCAAUGGAUGUGGUCAUGAUCGAUGCAGUUGUACCUGCUUCAGUAACUAAUGUGUAUCUAAAUCAAUUUCAUUGGAUUGUCAAAAAUGUCUUGUAUGUCUGUGAUUACGAUAUGAAAUUCACAUUUGUAUACGUCGGGUGGGAGGAUACAGCCCAUGAAGCUCGCAUUUUAAUCGAUGCAUUAAGGCUUCCUGGGAACAAUUUUCCAUGGCAUCAAAACAGUAAGUUGUACACGUUAUUUAAUUUGUAUCUUCCAAUUUUGUUGUAAUUUCUAUAUUCCAUAGUUAUAAAAGAUUAAUAUUCUACUAAAUUCUCAAGUUAUUAUUAUUUAGUAGAUUUUGUAUUUCUCUGUAUUAAGGAAUUGAUGCCGCCGCAUCCAAGGGUGAGGUACCACAUAUCAGAAUGUUAUGACAAUCAUACAUUUGAAGGA